UACGUAGGGGGGCAAGCGUUGUCCGGAAUCAUUGGGCGUAAAGCGCGCGUAGGCGGCCCGGUAAGUCCGCUGUAAAAGUCCAGGGCUCAACCCUGGAAAGCCGGUGGAAACUGUCGGGCUAGAGUCCGGAAGAGGCGAGUGGAAUUCCUGGUGUAGCGGUGGAAUGCGCAGAUAUCAGGAGGAACACCGAUGGCGAAGGCAGCUCGCUGGGACGGUACUGACGCUGAUGCGCGAAAGCGUGGGGAGCAAACGGG
rnacentral:rRNA from 1 species